rnacentral:rRNA from 1 species
GACGAACGCUGGCGGCGUGCUUAACACAUGCAAGUCGAACGGAAAGGCCCGGCUUUUGUGGGGUGCUCGAGGGGCGAACGGGGGAGUAACACGUGAGUAAGCUGUACUUGACUUUGGGAGAUCUUCAGGAAAGUGGGGCUAAUACCGGAUAGGAGCUAUUGCUGCUGGGUGGGGGUGGGAAAGUUUCGGCGGUUGGGGGUGGACUCGCGGCCUAUGGGGUUGGUGGUGGGGUGGUGGCUUACCAAGGCUUUGAAGGGUGGCCGGCCUGCUAGGGUGACCGGCCCCAUUGGGACUGGGCUACGGCCCAGACUACUCCGGUAGGCAACAGUGGAGAAUAGUACACUAUGGGCGGAACCCUGAUCCAGCCACGCCGCGUGCGGGAUGACGUCCUGCGGUUUGUGAACCGCUUCCGCCUGUGACGAAGCGUGAGUGACGGUAAUGGGUAAAUAAGCACCGGCUAACUACGUG